CUAACUAAAUGAAUAAAUGAGAGAGAGAGGGAGAGAGAGAGAGAGAGAGAGAACAAACAUUCACAGCCCACCAGAAACCCUUCAUGCCCCUCCCAGCCCCAUUCCAGGGCCCUUCAUUGUGGCUGACAUUGACACUGAGCUCUGACAGCACAGGAACCUGGCUGGGAGCCCUUGAGUCACGCGGCAUGUGUCACUUCGGUGCAUGGACCAGAGGUUGGUCUGGCCACCUUCCGCCUCCUUCUCAGGAGGGUUGCCCUGCUGCCUUCUGCCUCUGGGGCUUCCUCUCAGCCUGGGAAGGCCAAGGACCAGGACACACUGCUGGGCGCGGGGCUCACUGGAGGCAGUGGAUUUGGCACACCAGUGCUUAGCCUUGGGUGAGGGAGUGCUUCCUUCAGGGUCCAGGGUCCCCGGAUCCCAUCCUGCACAAAUGACCCACGCUCGAAGUCUGGGGGCUGCUUCUAAGACAGCCUAACCCAAGAGGGAGUUAGGCCCAACCUGGCAGCCUGGGCAGAGCUGUAUAUAGAUGCCCACUAGGCCUCUUCCAGAAACAGUCCCCUCCCUGCCCUGGUAGAAGGUUUGGGAGGAAAAAGCUCCUCUUUCCCACCUGCCCUGUGGUUCCUUGUGGGAAGCUAUAUGAGCAUGCGGUGCCUGGGGCUGCAGUAGCUGUUUUGUGAUAAGGAGGGGAGACAUGGACCACAUCCUGGGCAGAGCAGAAGGAUGGAAGCCAGGCUCCCUGAUGGCACCUGAGCCUUCUGAUCAGCUUGGGUGUCACCUCCUCUGCAUUUCUAGGUAAGGGGCCAAUAAUGCCCUUAUGGGUUAGGCCACAUGUGCUUGGGGCUUUUGCUUGUUAAGCAUAUCUAUUAUUAUCCCUGUGGCCCUUGCCCUCUUUGGUUUGAUUUUUUUUUUUAUUUUGAGACAAGAGUCUUGUUAUGUAGUCCAGAUUGGCCUUGAACUCUUUAUGUAGCCCAGGCUGCCCUUGAACUCCUGGUGAUCUUCCUGCCUCAGCCUCUUGAGUGCUGGGAUGACAGGAGUGUGCCACCCCCCCCCCCACUGGCCCUUGUGCUCUUUGGAAUCGGCUCCUCUCAUUGUUACCCUGAGCCUCAAGGUCGUGGCACAGGAUAGGUAAAGAGAGGCUGGACGGGGUGUGUGUGUGUGUGUGUGUGCGGGCAGAGGUGCUAGGAAGGGAAGGGACAGGGAGAUUUGGGUAUCCAGGUCCCAAGGACAGAGCAGAGGAAGGUGAGUCCCCCAUCAAUCCAG
rnacentral:lncRNA from 1 species